rnacentral:rRNA from 1 species
AGUGAACGCUGGCGGUAGGCCUAACACAUGCAAGUCGAACGGCAGCACAGUAAGAGCUUGCUCUUACGGGUGGCGAGUGGCGGACGGGUGAGGAAUACAUCGGAAUCUACUUUUUCGUGGGGGAAAACGUAGGGAAACUUACGCUAAUACCGCAUACGACCUACGGGUGAAAGCAGGGGAUCUUCGGACCUUGCGCGAUUGAAUGAGCCGAUGUCGGAUUAGCUAGUUGGCGGGGUAAAGGCCCACCAAGGCGACGAUCCGUAGCUGGUCUGAGAGGAUGAUCAGCCACACUGGAACUGAGACGCGGUCCAGACUCCUACGGGAGGCAGCAGUGGGGAAUAUUGGACAAUGGGCGCAAGCCUGAUCCAGCCAUACCGCGUGGGUGAAGAAGGCCUUCGGGUUGUAAAGCCCUUUUGUUGGGAAAGAAAAGCAGCAGGUUAAUACCCCGCUGUUCUGACGGUACCCAAAGAAUAAGCACCGGCUAACUUCGUG